GACGAGGAAACUGAGGCUCAAAGAUUUGGA
rnacentral:piRNA from 1 species